GCCUGGUAUGGUGGCCCAUACCUGUAGUCUCAGUUACUCGGGAGGCUGAUGCGGGAUUGCUUGAGCCCAGGAGUUCUGGGCUGCAGAGAACUGUGCCCACACGAAGCUUGGCAUCAAUAUGGGGGUCUUCUGGGGAGUGGGGACAACUGGGUUGCCUAAAGAGGGGUGAACUAGCCAGGCUGGAGAAAGGUCAGGUUAAAACUCUUGUGCUGCCCAGCAGUGGGAUUGCAUUUGUGAGUAGCCACUGCACUCCAGCCUGGGAAACACAGCCAGACCCUGUCUCUU
ensembl:misc_RNA Metazoa_SRP Metazoan signal recognition particle RNA